UCCCUGGUAGCUCAGACGGUAAAGCAUCUGCCUGCAAUGCGGGAGACCUGGGUUCGAUCCCUGGGUUGGGAA
rnacentral:tRNA from 1 species